rnacentral:rRNA from 1 species
AGCGUAGACGGACUGGCAAGUCUGAUGUGAAAGGGCGGGGGCUCCAACCCCUGGACUGCAUUGGAAACUGUUAGUCUUGAGUGCCGGAGAGGUAAGCGGAAUUCCUAGUGUAGCGGUGAAAUGCGUAGAUAUUAGGAGGAACACCAGUGGCGAAGGCGGCUUACUGGACGGUAACUGACGUUGAUGCGCGAAAGCGUGGGGAGCGAACA